rnacentral:rRNA from 1 species
AAUGAACGCUGGCGGCGUGCCUAAUACAUGCAAGUCGAGCGAACGGACGAGAAGCUUGCUUCUCUGAUGUUAGCGGCGGACGGGUGAGUAACACGUGGAUAACCUACCUAUAAGACUGGGAUAACUUCGGGAAACCGGAGCUAAUACCGGAUAAUAUUUUGAACCGCAUGGUUCAAAAGUAAAAGACGGUCUUGCUGUCACUUAUAGAUGGAUCCGCGCUGCAUUAGCUAGUUGGUAAGGUAACGGCUUACCAAGGCAACGAUGCAUAGCCGACCUGAGAGGGUGAUCGGCCACACUGGAACUGAGACACGGUCCAGACUCCUACGGGAGGCAGCAGUAGGGAAUCUUCCGCAAUGGGCGAAAGCCUGACGGAGCAACGCCGCGUGAGUGAUGAAGGUCUUCGGAUCGUAAAACUCUGUUAUUAGGGAAGAACAUAUGUGUAAGUAACUGUGCACAUCUUGACGGUACCUAAUCAGAAAGCCACGGCUAACUACGUG